AUGAAGGAGAAAGCUCAGACAAGUGUGUCUGGGCACAAGCCACUCUUCAUAGCUGGAGAGAAGACAUCCAGUGAUUGGACAAGGGCCAUGCAGAGGAACGUGGGAUCUGUGCUGUGGAUUCUGUGGAUGCAGAUUUGUUCAGGGGUGAGAGGAGAUGAGGUGGACCAAAGUCCUUCAGCCCUGAGUCUCCACGAGGGAGCCAAUUCUGCUCUGCGAUGCAAUUUUUCUUUUGCCACGACAGCUAUGCAGUGGUUCCUCCAGAAUCCCAGGGGAAGCAUCAUCAGUCUCUUUUACCUGGCUCCAGGAACAAAGGAGAAUGGAAGGCUAAAGUCAACAUUCAAUUCUAAGGAGCGCUACAGCACCCUGCACAUCAGCGAUGCCCAGCUGGAGGACGCUGGCACCUACCUCUGUGCUUCUGACCCACAGUGCUCUGAGCAAGCUUACAGCCUGGCUCCAAACCACAGCUGA